rnacentral:lncRNA from 1 species
AUGGUUACAUGAUAUUAUAUGUUAAACACAUAUGCAGAAGCUCAUUGGUCACCCACUUAGGAUCCAGACCCUUCAUGCUUUACUCUUAGGCAUUUUAUACUCACUGAAGCAGAGAGGUGAACUAUCUAUCACAUGGCCCAAGGAAAAUGUGUGUCCUACAGGGCCAAACGGGAAAGAUAAGAAUAGGAACUGUAUUACUUACUCAUAUUAGAACAACUGUUAAUACAAUUUUUUUAAAUCCCAUUUCUCCUCCUGGUCCCUUAGUUCCCAAUAGCAAUGACUCUGAGGCUAAUUAUUAUUAACCACUUCGGCCAUAAGGUUUGGCUCCUUCCCUGACUGACUUACAAGUUAUUUAACCCACUGAAAUUAUUCCGUGUCUACAGUUUGGUUAGUUACCUCUCUCUCCUUCAGUCCUGGCUGGCUUCUCCCUUCACAUCUCCUUUGUGCCUCCCAUCUACCGGCUGGGUUCCAUCUGUCUCCUCAGUUCAUCAUCUCCAAUCUCUCCCUGAGGCUCCUUUAAUUCUCUCACUAUUUCCCAGAAUCCUCUCUUCUUCUGACAGUGUCCCACCUCCUAUUUCUGCCUCAGCUCAUUGGCCACAGGCUUUUUUAUUGACAGGUGGUGAUUUACAUUCAACAACAUAAAUACACGUGUAUGGAUAAGAACUGGAAGAAUAUAAGCCAACGUGACAACCAAGGUUGUGUGAAAUGGCAGACUUAGGGGUUGCAUUGCUUUUUACAUAUUCCAAACUUCCUAUGUACAAUUGUAAUUUUAAAAUUGGUAACAGGAAGUAGGGAACGCCUCCUGCCAAGAAGCGUGCCUCUGAUCUUGGCCACUCUCGAUACGAUGCGAUGACUCCUACCUAUCUCUAUUGUCUUCCUCUUAGCCUCCAACA